GAUGCACAAGAAGUAGUUAGUCUAACCUUCGGGAGGACGAUUACCACUUUGUGUUUCAUGACUGGGGUGAAGUCGUAACAAGGUAACCAA
rnacentral:rRNA from 1 species